rnacentral:rRNA from 1 species
UACAACAUAGCACUAAUUCAGUAGAUCCCAUUAGAACUCCAUAGUUAAGCACACUUAGGCUAAAGUAGUACUGGGAUGGGUGACCACCCAGGAAGUCCUAGUGUCUUAC